GACGAACGCUGGCGGCGUGCUUAAUACAUGCAAGUCGAACGGAGUUAAGGGUUUCGGCCUUUAACUUAGUGGCGAACGGGUGAGUAACGCGUGAAUAACCUGACUCAAAGAGGGGGAUAACAACGGGAAACUGUUGCUAAUACCGCAUGAGACCACAACACCGCAUGAUGAAGGGGUCAAAGAUUUAUCGCUUUGAGAGGGGUUCGCGUCCCAUUAGGUAGUUGGAGGGGUAACGGCCCACCAAGCCAACGAUGGGUAGCCGAGCUGAGAGGCUGAUCGGCCACACUGGAACUGAGACACGGCCCAAACUCCUACGGGAGGCAGCAGUGGGGAAUAUUGCACAAUGGGGGAAACCCUGAUGCAGCGACGCCGCGUGAGUGAUGAAGUAUUUCGGUAUGUAAAACUCUAUCAGCAGGGAAGAUAAUGACGGUACCUGACUAAGAAGCACCGGCUAACUACGUG
rnacentral:rRNA from 1 species